CUUAGGAUGAACGCUGGCGGCGUGCCUAACACAUGCAAGUCGAACGGAGUGUUGAGAGCUUGCUUUAACACUUAGUGGCGGACGGGUGAGGUAAUGCGUGAGCAACCUGCCUUUCAGAGGGGGACAACAGUUGGAAACGACUGCUAAUACCGCAUAACGUAUUUUGGGGGCAUCCCCCGGGAUACCAAAGGAGCAAUCCGCUGAAGGAUGGGCUCACGUCUGAUUAGCUGGUUGGUGGGGUAACGGCUCACCCAAGGCUGCGAUCAGUAGCCGGACUGAGAGGUUGAACGGCCACAUUGGGACUGAGAUACGGCCCAGACUCCUACGGGAGGCAGCAGUGGGGAAUAUUGGGCAAUGGGCGAAAGCCCUGACCCAGCAACGCCGCGUGAAGGAAGAAGGUCUUCGGAUUGUAAACUUCUUUUAUGAGGGACGAAGGACGUGACGGUACCUCAUGAAUAAGCCACGGCUAACUACGUGCCAGCAGCCGC
rnacentral:rRNA from 1 species